rnacentral:lncRNA from 1 species
UCGAGAUUACUCUGUACAUGAGUAAGGCUAUUCAUUGGGUACUCUUUUUGGUGUGAUUUUUCAGUAUUUAUUCUAUUAUCAGAUUUCAGAUUAUGGAAUUCAGUUAAUUCAGUUUUCAGAAUAAACCUUUCAGCUUAUAGUAUUAAUGCAGCAAUAUUUCAUAAUUUUUCAUGGAUAUCAGAGUAUUUAUAGUCAUUAUGUUAUACAGUUGCCUUUUUAAAAUUAUGUCCAAGAAAUUAGGAUAUGAUCAUGUUUAGUUUUUAAAAGCGUCACUAUUUUUCAGAAGUUCUUAACGCUAAAUGGUGUAAGAAUUUUCAGAAAAUAGCAUAAAUGGAAAAGUUUAUUUAUUUUCAACUAUCCACUCACUGAGUUAUAAACUCAUAUCUUUUUACCAUGUUUUCCUAUCAGGAGAAGGUCGAUUCUGAGAUAUUUGGAAAGCCUGCUGAAGCAAAAGAGACCAUUUCCUAAGUAUGUAAUGAAUAGUUGGGAAACUUAUGUUUAUUAAGUAAUUGUCUAAUUUUGGGUGUCAAGUAUAUUUGUAGAAGGGUUUGUAAGUGAUGUAAUACUUGCAUGUUGACAGGAUGAUGUUGUAGAAGCACUCAGUCGAAUUUUGUUAUAUUUUGUAGUAGUUGUGGUGGUAUUAGAGGAAGUGGUGGUUUCCAAAACUUUUGGUUUAAAUGUCUAUUUGAGAUUUUGAUGAUUUUUCAGGUUGGUUUUGUCCAUAUUACAGGGGAAACUCUGUCAAAAUUUUCAUAGAUAUUAGCACAGUCAAAAUAGGUCAAGUUUGCCUUGGUGGUGGGUCCGGCAUUUAGCUGGCAUCUACUACCGGCGCACGACACGUGUCGAGUCAAUUAGGUUGAGUCGGGACGGGUCGUGUCA